rnacentral:rRNA from 1 species
GAACGCUGGCGGCGUGCUUAACACAUGCAAGUCGAGCGAUGAAGUUUCUUCGGAAAUGGAUUAGCGGCGAACGGGUGAGGAACACGUGAAGAAUCUGCCCUCCACUUUGGGAUAACACAGGGAAACCUGUGCUAAUACCGAAUAUUGAAACAUAAGUGGCAUCACUGAGUUUUGAAAGAAUUUCGGUGGAGGAUGACUUCGCGGCCUAUCAGCUAGUUGGUGAGGUAAUGGCUCACCAAGGCAACGACGGGUAGCCGGCCUGAGAGGGCGACCGGCCACACUGGGACUGAGACACGGCCCAGACUCCUACGGGAGGCAGCAGUGGGGAAUAUUGGGCAAUGGAGGAAACUCUGACCCAGCGACGCCGCGUGCGGGACGAAGGCCUUCGGGUUGUAAACCGCUUUCAGUAGGGAAGAAGCGAAAGUGACGGUACCUACAAAAGAAGCACCGGCUAACUAUGUGCCAGCAGCCCGCGGUAAUACAUAGGGUGCAAGCGUUGUCCGGAAUUAUUGGGCGUAAAGAGCUCGUAGGUCGUUUGUUACGUCGGAUGUGAAAACCUGAGGCUCAACCUCAGGCCUGCAUUCGAUACGGGCAAACUAAAGUUUGGUAGGGGAGACUGGAAUUCCUGGUGUAGCGGUGGAAUGCGCAGAUAUCAGGAGGAA